UACAUGGGGUGCAACGUUGCUCGGAAUUACUGGGCGUAAAGCGCACGUAGGCGGCUUUGUAAGUUAGAGGUGAAAGCCCAGGGCUUAACCCUGGAAUUGCCUUUAAGACUGCAUCGCUAGAAUCGUGGAGAGGUGAGUGGAAUUCCGAGUGUAGAGGUGAAAUUCGUAGAUAUUCGGAAGAAACACCAGUGGCGAAGGGCG
rnacentral:rRNA from 1 species